UGCAUCGUACCUUGGAUCAUGUGAUGGGGGCCUGAAAACUGCCAGAAGCAGCUGAAGGACUGCUAACAUCAUCACUACACAGCCAAGAGAGUCUAUAAAAUAUUUAGCAACACAUUCAUGGAUUGGAGUCUCUCUAAUGUAGUGAGUUUCAAAACGUCAGGAGGAUGCUUCAGAGGCCAGGUUUGCAACCAAUUUAUUUUAUUUCAUACUGGAGUAUUUAAAGGGACUCUCAAAAUCAGAAUGCUCUCUCAGCAGCAGCUCUCAGUCACAGACACAAGAGAAGAUGCCAGAUUCCAGUCUCCAUCUUUGACCAGCCACAUGGCAGUUCUCCUGCCUCCUUCACUCCUUCACUAAGACCAAGGAUACAGGCUGAUCCCGAGGUCCUCCAGAGAGCUAGUCCAGACUUUACAUAUCCUUAAUUAGUUUAUUUUCUCCAGACUAAAAAUUUCUUAUUUUUUCAACUAAUUUCACUCAGCUAAACUCAAAAAGGGAACUCCUAGGGAAAAAAAUCCCUAACACUAAAAUAAAUGCACUGAUUGUUGUGCCACAAUUCCCUUUAUUGUCCUGACUCAGUU